GGAAGGAGAGGACAGUUCUGUCUCAGCUACUUUAAAUAUGUAUCAACCACAGAACUGACACUUACUAGCAGUUCCCACUCACUACCAGUAAGUUGACUCACUGUACAAGACCUCUCCCCUUCACUUCACUCUACUGCAGGGUGGGAGAUGCAACAAUGUCCUUGAGAACAACAGGAAGUGUGUUGGUGGUCUUUCUCUGGUCUGUAGCAGAGUGUCCAUCCUGAACCAAUUGUGACAUGAACACUCCUCUGAACAUGAGGACCAUGUCCCCUGAAUACAACACUGGC